rnacentral:rRNA from 1 species
GACGAACCGUGCGAACGUUGUUCGGAAUCACUGGGCUUAAAGGGCGCGUAGGCGGGCCGGACGGUCCGGAGUGAAAUCCCCCCGCUCAACGGGGGAACGGCUCCGGAUACCGCCGGCCUCGAGGGGGGUAGGGGCGAGCGGAACGCUGGGUGGAGCGGUGAAAUGCGUUGAUAUCCAGCGGAACUCCGGUGGCGAAGGCGGCUCGCUGGGCCCUCUCUGACGCUGAGGCGCGAAAGCCAGGGGAGCGAACGGG